CAGGAUGAACGCUGGCGGCGUGCUUAACACAUGCAAGUCGAACGAAGCAGCUUUCUGCUGCAAGAAAGUUGACUUAGUGGCGGACGGGUGAGUAACGCGUGGGUAACCUGCCUCAUACAGGGGGAUAACAGUUGGAAACGACUGCUAAGACCGCAUAACCCGCUAGUGUCGCAUGACACGGACGGAAAAUAUUUAUAGGUAUGAGAUGGGCCCGCGUCUGAUUAGCUAGUUGGUAAGGUAACGGCUUACCAAGGCGACGAUCAGUAGCCGACUUGAGAGAGUGAUCGGCCACAUUGGGACUGAGACACGGCCCAAACUCCUACGGGAGGCAGCAGUGGGGAAUAUUGGACAAUGGGGGGAAACCCUGAUCCAGCGAACCGCCGCGUGAGUGAAGAAGUAUUUCGGUAUGUAAAGCUCUAUCAGCAGGGAAGAUAAUGACAGUACCUGACUAAGAAGCCCCGGCUAACUACGUGCCAGCCGCAGC
rnacentral:rRNA from 1 species